UCCUCAAAACUUCUCAGCUGUCUUUUAAACUGUGCCAAAGUUACUCUCCAAUCUCCCGGUGUAAUGUGGAUGGCAAACAGUUUUAAUGAUUCAAGCAAACCUUUCAAAAUCAUUGCAAUCAACAGUCCAUUACUUAAUGUUUCUCCAGCAUCUCUCAGUGAUGUAAUAGCUGUCUCUGCACGUAUAAUAUAGUCUGUCACACUCUCAUUUACAGACUUCCGAAG